AAUCAAGAUUUUUGUCAACAUGGCUGCUGCUCUAUGGUGAAACAAGCCCAAAAUCCUUAGGUUUGCACUGAUGCUUAACUUGCUAUACAGAGACACUCGCCAUUCUCCUCCUCCUGGUCCUCAUCACGUUCAUCUUCUUCCAUUUCCUCCUCCUCCUCUUCCUCCUCCUCUUCCUCCUCCUCCGCCCCUGGAUAGAGAUGUCGAUUGUUUCCCAGCAUCCUUUGUUGCUCCUCGUCGCUGGACAGGGGGCUGAACGGCAUCGUCAUGGCGACAGAGAGGGCGGUACCAGUGGCAACACCAUCAUUCCCAGAGAGACACUGCAAUGGAUGGGAGGAAAGAGAAGACAUGAUCAAAACAGAGACAAAGUUUGUACAUAAGAGAGCUGAGAAGCCACUUCAGAGCAUCAGUGAUGCACCGCUGUAUUCAAGUACAAGCUGAGCAAGAUAACAGAUCUGUCCCUGGUGGCUCCUGGAUGGUUCAGCAUGCUGUUUCAGGAUUUUCAGCACCACUACAUUCUGGACAGCUCCACACAGAACCAAACAGCAGAAUAAUAAACGACGAGAGAGACGACACUCAAAUUCGCACCAGAGGACAGACCAAUCAGCAGAGAGAGCUGGAGAAACACCAAAUAAACAUCUGAUCUGAAAGUAACUGAGUUAAGCUUAAGUACAAUUUUCCGGUAUUUCUACUUUACUUGCCAGUUUAUAAUUCUACUCCACUACAUUUAAGACAAGAAAUAUUGUACUUUAGCGUUUGCUAUAGUUACUUUGCAAAAUCAGAUUUUCCAUACAAAAAUCUGAACACUGAUUGAACCAGAUCUGAAUACUAUGCAAAAACAAAACUGUACAAAUCUAAAUUUCAAAUGAUGGUUUCUCAUUUAAACAUUCAACCAGAUACAGUAUAUAUAUAAUAAGUAUCAAGUUGCUGUUUGUUUUGAUUGUACUUCGAAUGACUAUCAAGUACAGAAUAAUGAGGCAACUUUAAAUUGUAUGUGAGUGUAUGUGUGUGUGAGACACGGGGGAAUAAGAGCCAUGUUGUGAAGGGGAAAAAAGUGUUAGACACAUAAUAUCAAGGCUUUCCUCAUGGGACACUGAGAUAAUACUACCAGCUGUCAGUUCGACAAGAAACAAGAAUAAAAAGAAUAAAAAAUGAAGAAGUGCCACAAGAAAAUGAAAAAGAAAAGGGAAGGGUGGACAACUGGACCUAGCAUGUGGCGAAGAAUAUUCAUUUCAACAUGUCAGUUAGGCUGGGGUCAAGUCUUAAAAUUCUAUUCUUCUUGAAAAAUAAAAGAAUGGCAGAAUGGGGAGAUAAUUACAACUUUCUAAUAUGCAACAUGAUCCAAGAAUUUUCUUGAAUAAAGUAGCAUUCAUUUGAUGCUGGUGGAGCAAAAUGUACCGAGUUUGCGCCAUUUUGUGGCAAUAACUAAAAUAAAUGAAACUGCUUUACAGAAAAUUGGAAUUCUUGCCACAAUCCUUCACUUGAUCUAACAAAAACACAAUUUCAAGCCUGAAUGUGAAGUUAAACGGCUUGUUAAACAUUUUUUCUGUUUGGAGAAUAUAUGUCAGUAUUCUCUCUCUUUUGAUUUCUCCUCUCUUCUCACACAAACAAACACACUGAGUGCAGGACUGUUUGUGACAAACACUGACUUUCUUGCAGCGCUUUUCUGCCUCCAACUUUUGAAAGCCUAUUAGCAGGCAGACUUCUGUUCACAGUCAUUAAGAAAGACGGAGAUAUCAGACGAGUGUGCAGCAAACUGUAGAAGUUUAACAGACAUGACAUCCAGAUUGUAUCACCCACUAACAGAGACAAGAACUUUGAGGACACAGUCUUGUAACACUUUACAACCAAUGACAAAUGAUGAAUUAAUCAUUAUUAUUACUUUGCAUUUUAUCAUUACUGCAUCAACCUGUAAGUGGCAUUUUAAAUAUUACUCUUACUACUUCAUGCACUCUUGGGUUGUUAA